UACGGAGGGUGCAAGCGUUAUCCGGAUUCACUGGGUUUAAAGGGUGCGUAGGCGGGCAAGUAAGUCCGUGGUGAAAUCUCUGAGCUUAACUCAGAAACUGCCAUGGAUACUAUUUGUCUUGAAUGUUGUGGAGGUAAGCGGAAUAUGUCAUGUAGCGGUGAAAUGCUUAGAUAUGACAUAGAACACCAAUUGCGAAGGCAGCUUACUACACAAAUAUUGACGCUGAGGCACGAAAGCGUGGGGAUCAAACAGG
rnacentral:rRNA from 1 species